UAACUAAAUACUUCCUCUCCCAAACAAAAACUCUUUUUCCGAUGACUUGCCUAAUGCCUACUUCUAAAAUUGCUUCCAAACAAUGCUAGCGAGGAUUGUUAGUCCUCAAAAAAAAGAUGAUUUCCCUUUGGGUUUUCUUGCUUCGGCUUUCCAAUAGUCUGCUAAAUCACUAACAAAAAAAAACAUAUAAUUCCCAAACUGCUUGAGACAAAAAUUCACCUUUAAUUUGUUUGGUGGGACGAGAGACAACUGCAUUUAUUGUUUUGCAGAUCACCGUGGAUCCCCCAGAAUCGGACAACGACGUUAAUGCCUCUGAACAUAACCCGGACCACGACUCGACAGAUCCUCCGGCACCUCUUCCUCUUUUCAGAUCCGGACAGCGAGCUCCACGAGUCGGACAACGAGGCUACUACCACCUGGUAAUACCUGGACCACAACUCGGGACACACACUUCCUUUUCUUCUACCUCCGAUACAUAACUACCAUGUCUAUUUUCCUCACUGCUACUCCUCUCAGCGGAUACGACGGCUAGGAUUUAUUCCCGGCUCGCGGACCGGCUGAGUUUCGUUCUACCAGGGUUCCAUUUUACACCGGGUCUUUAAGACUCGUGUUUAAAAUCGAUCCCUUCUAUUUUCCCUUGGGCGCCAUUUGUUAUGAUCCGCCUCUUUGCCACCCUGGCCUAUCGUUCCCAGCUAGCUCACGGGGAAGUCAGGGGUGUUUCCGACCCGAUAAGUCAGGGGACGGAUUGAACAAAACAAAAACAAAAAAACAUACAAAAAAAACAAAUCUAAUUUAUAGGACAGACUUGUCUUCGUUGGCACUUUCGUCAGCGGGGAUAGUUGGUUUCGUUAUCCCUAGCAGGGUCCCACCCUUCCAUGAGCGCUCCCUUUUCAUAUUCAGGGUCCCACUCUUCUUCUCGCUCUCGUCCCACCCAACUACCGUUUUCUAUUCACUCAUGACUCUUUUCAAAUUUUCAUUUUUAUAUCCAUUAUAUUUUCUUACUUAUCUUCUUGAACAUUAAUUCCUAAUCUAGGUUUAUAUAACGGAAACAAAUACUAACACAAAAAAAAUAAACCCUAUUUCGGCCGAAUUGGCAGCCCCCUUUGAUAGAAGUUGUUGCUUCCUGAUGCUUGCUGAUGUUUACGUUUAAUCGUGGUGUUUUUUUUAUAUGAUCGUGAUAUAUUGUUUAAUUGGCACGUGCGGCCUCCACUAUUCUCCACCGGAAACUCUCUUUUUUUUCUUCCUCCUCGCACCGUUUCCUUUUCUCCCACGCAACUCUGCCACUGCUUCCCAGGAUCCACUAUAGAUGCCGCUGUCUCUCUCUUCUCCAGCCCUGAUACCUAUCGGCUCUCUCCAAAACCGCCCAUAACACCACACUACCGUUUCCAGGAUUACUCCGCCGAAACGGGAGUGCCAAGCAGGCGGGCUUUUUCAAUUAAGGGGCCCCAACGUAGGCCAUCGCCCACACCCUGAGAUUGAGAGUCUCUGGCUCCAUCGACUGAGAUGCCCGGGCUACUGCUUCAGAUCUUUUGCGUGGAACACCCCAAUACGUGAGCCUUGCAACGUCUCCAGCUCGUACUGACGCUGCCUUUCCUUUAUCGGCUUGCGCUCGGACCAUCUAGCUUCGGGUAAUACAGCUUGGUUAACCUUAUAUAUGGUAGUGUAAAUAUUCUUAUUGGUACUUUUUCCUUAGGGG